rnacentral:rRNA from 1 species
CCCUUAGAUGUUCUGGGCUGCACGCGCGCUACACUGAAGCGUUCAACGAGUAUUCACCUUGCCCGGGAGGAAUGGGUAACCUUUUGAAAGUGCAUCGUGCUAGGGAUAGACUAUUGCAAUUAUUGGUCUUCAACGAGGAAUUCCUAGUAGACGUAGUUCAUCAGACUGCAUCGAUUACGUCCCUGCCCUUUGUACACACCGCCCGUCGCUCCUACCGAUUGGAUGAUCCGGUGAGCUAUUCGGACCUUCGCUUCGUCGAUUUUCGGCUUUGUGAGGGAAAGUCUCGCGAACCUUAUCAUCUAGAGGAAGGAGAAGUCGUANCA